rnacentral:misc_RNA from 1 species
CGACACUUUACUACUGAUGUCGCCAUUUUUGUGACAAUCAUACUGCUAUCAUCUUGCUAAUAUUUUGCCGCUGUUUGCCUCGUAUUGUGCAUAUCUUCGUCUGUGAACACUAUGAGUUCCUACGCCCAAGGAAGAUCCGAAGCCAACCCCUCCACUCGCUAGCUAUGUAGCAGCCUUCGUCUCCAUCUGAUGUGUAUCGCGCCUGUUAUACACAUGUAGAAAUGAUACAUUUAAUAAAAUUCUGCUGUGAA